UUUUUUCCUUUCUCGUUUAUCAGUAAAUUACUUCCAAGUGAAUCCUCACUUUGGGCUCUGCUUCUAGACCCUGACUGAAGAAAGAAAGGAAGGAGAAAUGAACAAUGAACAAUUCCAGAGAUUUUGAGACAUGGCAAUUGGACUUUCUGUCAGGGUAAACAUCACCGGUUGGACCAUAUAUUAUGGGAGCACCUUUUGCAAGGAUGAAAUAUUCAGUCUGGUACAAGGCUGGCCUGAGUGAUCAAUAGAAUACUGUAGAGGCAACAACAUGUGGCUUCUGAGGAAGCAUUGUAGCCUCUUGGUUUGCUCAUGCUGUAGAAGCCAGCUGCCAUGUCAAGAGGAUGCUCAAGCAGUCCUGUGGAAAGGCCCAUAUGACACAGCAAGAGAGUGGCUAACUGCACACGAGGAAGAAAACUUCACCAGAUCUCAACCAUGCUAGUACCCUGAUCCAGACAUUCAGCCUUCAGAACUGUAAAAACGUAAAAUAAAAUUCUGUUGUUUGA